CACACACACACACACACACACACACACGCACACACCAAAACGAGAGAUAACUGGAGCAUGAUUAUACAACUUCUAAAAAUUUACAAUUUUUCCUGGAUUUGUCUCAUUUAAAAUAAAUAUUCACUUUCACAUUUAAUUUGUAUUUCUAAAUACUUCCUUUUUUCCUAGAGAGAAGCCCUCCACAUCGUGAAGCUUCACUCUAUCUCCCUCCUCCAUCACCACCAGAAACAAAAACAAAAAAGAAGUAGUUUGCUCCUGCACGCAGUCAUAAUUUCUUAUUCAGAAUGUGGUUGAAAAACAUAAUACAUGUAAUUAAGCAGACCUAAGAAUCUUGAAAUAAAGCAAUCUUUCUUUUUCAGAAGUUAAAAAAAACCCUCACUUCGAACACACUAAAGUGUUAACAAAAACAAAAUAUAAGCUUAUAUUACUUGUUCAUAUCACUUUGAAUGUCAACUGCCUUUUCCUCUGAGAUCAACAUGAGAAAAUUACUUUCACAGAAAAUAAAACUUCCUUUAGAAAUAAGAUGAUAUGUUUAACAGAGGUCUCGGAAAUGCUUCCCUGCUGACAGUGUCACCUUCCCAUAGCACUGUGAUCUCAAGACCAGACAGGAAGUAUGUGAUUUAGGUUACCACUCAUGGGACAAAACAUAAAAAAGGAAUGUUAUGUAAAUAAUAAUAAUCCCCAAAUGCAGUCUGGGCUACUUCUAAUAUAUUUGCUUUGGGACAGGCCCACCACUCCGACCCCAUGUUGCUGUGGUGCAGGCCAGCAGCUGCAGCUCCGAUUUGACGUAGAAACUUCCAUAUGCUGUGGUAGAGGCCCUAAAAAGCAAAAAAAAAAAAAAAAAAAAAAAAGCCACUCACAGAGGUAAGUGAGCAUUGAGUUUGGGUUUCAGAGAUAGUUUGCACAAGGCCCCCCUCCCCUUCAGGCUAGCAAGACUGAGAGAGGCUAACCUGGCUGGCCGGUAAAAGCCUUGCUGUGGUCACUCAGAGGGAGUCUACAGUGGAGGUUUCAUUCCCCGUUUUCCAAAGCGGAGCGCAUCAACAUGUGGAAUGAAUAUCCCCAGUCCUGUCAUAGAUACAACAUGCAACAACUGCAAUGACAUAUCUCCACGGUAAACAGAUUAGAAUAUUGAAUUUGCUAAUUUCAGAUUCGAAGUCUUGGCCAUGAGCAAGUCAGAAAGCAGGAUUGAUUCACUGAUUCAUUCUCUGGUUGUUUUAAGAAAGGGAUUCAUUGACUGCUUAUAUAUUGUCUCAUUCUUGUAAGUUCAGAUACAAAAAUGAGCCUCUUGGUGGAAAAAUCUGAACUUCUUCAAGAUGGCACCCAGGUAAGAAAAAUCUGGACAAAUCGAGGUCUUCAAGGUGCCAUCUCCAGCCCUGUAAGAGCAAGAAAUUCGACACCAUUUACAAAGCUUUCUUGAGAGAACUGCUCAUCAUUCAAGAGGUUGCCCGUAGGAAGAUACAUAAAAAACAACAAUUAUGAGAUAAGUAGUAUACAUUUUGUAGAGAUUUGUAACAGUGAGUGAUCUAGGCAAAGGCCAAUGUCUCCAAAUCUCCUUUUUUGUGUUAUAUUUAUUUUCUCUUUUAUUUAAAAAAUCUUCUGGAGUUACUGUCGUGGCCCAGUGGUUGACGAAUCCGACUAGGAACCAUGAGCUUGUAGGUUCGAUCCCUGG